rnacentral:misc_RNA from 1 species
GUAUUUAGAAUUAUUUAUUCAAAAUAUCUUCAGACAAAAAAGUUUCAAUAAAGGGUUGGUAUUAUGCUGACGCGACGCGUGAACGACGAUGUCAGCAAACAUUGCACACAAGGUGAGUACUUGUUUAAAAAGUGCAGUAAAACACUUAUUAUGAAUGAUCCUUCCGCAGGUUCACCUACGGAAA